UGAUGAUAAUGAUGCUGACGAUGACGGUGAUGGAAUGGUGAUGAUGAUGAUGAUGAUUAUCAUCAUCAUCAUCAUCAUCAUCAUCAUCACAA
rnacentral:pre_miRNA from 1 species